rnacentral:lncRNA from 1 species
AUACUUAUAAAAACUUAAGCACCUACCUGAAAAUUUACUGUGAAAAAAACAAAUUCAAAACAAUCCCUCCAACAUUUUCAGUUUGCCCACUUUCAGUCCCUGUACCUAUAAAUAUUUCUUGAAAUCCCAGUAGAGUUAAUAAUCUCUCACCUCCAUUUCUAUUCCUCUGCAGUAUUUCUCAUUCUCAAAUGGAGGUUUUAGAUAUUAUUUCUCUAUGCGAAACUGAUUCAAAAAAAGAAAAUAUCCCGCCUUGUUCUGCAGAAAAAUUGAGCCCAGAUUGUCCAAAGUUGAAAUGUUGUAACAGAAAUGUGAAGAGAAGUUUUAGAAAGCCUUUGAGAGACAUUACUCACCUCUUCAACUCGCCGGUUCAGCCCAGUUCAUCAAUUGCAUUCAGAAGAUUUCAGCGAUCUGUUUCUAUUUCUAAUAAAGUAAUUGUUUGUGGAAAGCGAAAAGCAGCUGAUGAUAAUAUUGAUUCAAUGCAGA